GAAAGUAAAAGUCGUAACAAGGUCUCCGUAGGUGAACCUGCGGAGGGAUCAUUACAGAGUUCAUGCCCUACCGGGUAGAUCUCCCACCCUAUGUUAUUAUCACUUUGUUGCUUUGGCGGGCCGUUAGGCUCCGGCCCGACUACCGGCCCCGGCUGGUAAGCGCCCGCCAGAGGACCCAAAACCCCGAAUAUUAGUGUCGUCUGAGUACUAUAUAAUAGUUAAAACUUUCAACAACGGAUCUCUUGGUUCUG
rnacentral:misc_RNA from 1 species